CCUGGCAAUUGCUCUUCCACUUGGCUUCUGGUACCUCCAGGAUUCCCACCAACCUCCAGCCAUGAAGAUCUUCUGUCUCCUCUCUGUUGCCGUCCUCUUCUUGAUGCUGCUGGCUCCAGAUUUCACCAGAGCCCAAUUUAAUUGCCGGCCGAGAUGUCAAAGGCAGGGAGGGAUACUGCAACUUUUUAGGUGCCGCCCGCCCCUAAGGCUCCUAUUUCGGUGUACUCGUCAAGUGGUGUGUUGCCGUAGAGGGGGCGGGUAACUCUGCAGUUUACUGGUGCAAGACCUCUGGUGAAAGGAAGACCACCCUGCUCUCCUCUGAUGUGCAGCUGCCUCGACUGCACCCCCAUCUCUGCUGGGGAAGAAACCGCUUUGCUUGAUGCUGCUGAAGGCGAUGCUGGGAAGGAGUCAAGAGGGAGCCAUCCUGUCUGCCUGUCUACUCAUGAGUAAGGCCACUGCGGCCAGUGCGUCCUGACUCCUUAGUAAAUGGGCUCGGGAUUGGAGCUUGGAUUUGGUUUGCCUGCAAAAAUGCUUUAGCUUCCUCUUUUUAAUAAAUGCAAGCAUUGGAAACCUU